UACGUAGGGUGCAAGCGUUGUCCGGAAUUAUUGGGCGUAAAGAGCUCGUAGGCGGCUUGUCACGUCGACCGUGAAAACCCGGGGCUCAACUCCGGGCCUGCAGUCGAUACGGGCUGGCUUGAGUGCGGUAGGGGAGACUGGAAUUCCUGGUGUAGCGGUGAAAUGCGCAGAUAUCAGGAGGAACACCGGUGGCGAAGGCGGGUCUCUGGGCCGUAACUGACGCUGAGGCGCGAAAGCGUGGGGAGCAAACAGG
rnacentral:rRNA from 1 species